rnacentral:rRNA from 1 species
AGAGUUUGAUCCUGGCUCAGGACGAACGCUGGCGGCGUGCUUAACACAUGCAAGUCGAACGGAAAGGCCCUUCGGGGUACUCGAGUGGCGAACGGGUGAGUAACACGUGGGUGAUCUGCCCUGCACUUUGGGAUAAGCCUGGGAAACUGGGUCUAGUACCGAAUAUGACCAUGCACUUCCUGGUGUGUGGUGGAAAGCUUUUGCGGUGUGGGAUGGGCCCGCGGCCUAUCAGCUUGUUGGUGGGGUAAUGGCCUACCAAGGCGACGACGGGUAGCCGGCCUGAGAGGGUGACCGGCCACACUGGGACUGAGAUACGGCCCAGACUCCUACGGGAGGCAGCAGUGGGGAAUAUUGCACAAUGGGCGCAAGCCUGAUGCAGCGACGCCGCGUGAGGGAUGACGGCCUUCGGGUUGUAAACCUCUUUCAGCACAGACGAAGCGCAAGUGACGGUAUGUGCAGAAGAAGGACCGGCCAACUACGUGCCAGCAGCCGCGGUAAUACGUAGGGUCCGAGCGUUGUCCGGAAUUACUGGGCGUAAAGAGCUCGUAGGUGGUUUGUCGCGUUGUUCGUGAAAACUCACAGCUUAACUGUGGGCGUGCGGGCGAUACGGGCAGACUUGAGUACUGCAGGGGAGACUGGAAUUCCUGGUGUAGCGGUGGAAUGCGCAGAUAUCAGGAGGAACACCGGUGGCGAAGGCGGGUCUCUGGGCAGUAACUGACGCUGAGGAGCGAAAGCGUGGGGAGCGAACAGGAUUAGAUACCCUGGUAGUCC